CAUUACAAGUAAUUACUUCAUUCAGUUGGAGGUAUUAACAGCGUUUAGUUGAAUAUUCAAUUGAUUAUUGUUAAUACUUCCAGCUUAGAAUUCCUUUUAUGAAUAUUGAACCUUAUAGAUAAAGCUAUAGUGACGAGACUGAAAUUAAUCGCACAAAUACAAACGUAGAUCACAUAUUCGAGAAUCCGACAGUACUCGGAGCGAACGCAGUGGCUCACAAUGGAAUGCAGAAACGUUGAAAUGGGAAAAGCGCGGAGAUCGCGGCACAAGCCUGACAUGCACUCCGACUUAUGCACCCAAAUCAGAUCACAUACAUUCCGCAACAAUUGGAACAUCAAUGGAAUUCAGCUAGCCAGUCCUUUAAUUAGAAAAUUUAACAAUUAUCAAAUGUUUUUCUUUUAUGAUGAAAAAGCUUGGUUUCAUUGUCUUUGAUUAAGGAAAAAGUAAACUUAAUUAAACUUGGCACGUUAGAAAAAACUGACACUGACGUAAUUGUCUUUGAAGUCGGCAUCAGUGGAUAAAUUAAAUCAUUGCUGCCAUUCUCUAGAA